rnacentral:sRNA from 17 species
CCUGUGGAGUGUCAUAUCCAAUGUAAGUAGCUUCGGCAAAAGCAGGCACGAAGAAGCAGGAA